CAGUAGACCUUAUCACCAACAACCUCCAUCUUCUCCACCCCCAGAGGGAUGCCUUGGGUGAGAAAUAUGCUCUACACGCGUUAAAUGCUGCAUUUAGGACUA